GAUGAACGCUGGCGGCGUGCCUAACACAUGCAAGUCGAGCGUGAUUUAUGAGGACGAAACUUCGGUCUAGGAAUCAUAAUGAAAGCGGCGGACGGGUGAGUAACGCGUAGGCAACCUGCCCUUGACACAGGGAUAGCCUCGGGAAACCGGGAUUAAAACCUGAUGACGCCAAACAGUCACAUGGCUGUUUGGCCAAAGAUUUAUCGGUCAAGGAUGGGCCUGCGUCUGAUUAGUUAGUUGGUGAGGUAACGGCUCACAAAGGUGACGAUCAGUAGCCGACCUGAGAGGGUGAGCGGCCACAUUGGAACUGAGACACGGUCCAAACUUCUACGAAAGGCAGCAGUAGGGAAUCUUGCACAAUGGGCGAAAGCCUGAUGCAGCAACGCCGCGUGAAGGAUGAAGGCCUUCGGGUUGUAAACUUCUGUUCUUAGGGAAGAAGAAAGUGACGGUACCUAAGGAGAAAGCCCCGGCUAACUACGUGCCAGCAGCCGCCGUAACAC
rnacentral:rRNA from 1 species